ACGUAGGGUGCAAGCGUUAAUCGGAAUUACUGGGCGUAAAGCGUGCGCAGGCGGUUUUGUAAGACAGAUGUGAAAUGCCCGGGCUUAACCUGGGAACUGCAUUUGUGACUGCAAGGCUAGAAUCUGGCAGAGGGGGGUAGAAUUCCACGUGUAGCAGUGAAAUGCGUAGAGAUGUGGAGGAACACCGAUGGCGAAGGCAGCCCCCUGGGCUAAGAUUGACGCUCAUGCACGAAAGCGUGGGGAGCAAACAGGAUUAGAUACCCUGGUAGUCCACGCCCUAAACGAUGUCUACUAGUUGUCGGGUCUUAAUUGACUUGGUAACGCAGCUAACGCGUGAAGUAGACCGCCUGGGGAGUACGGUCGCAAGAUUA
rnacentral:rRNA from 1 species